UGGAAUAAUGUAUGCAAGAAAAGUUGGCCAAAUAGAUCCGUAACUUUGGGAAAAUGAUUGGCUCUGAGGGCUGGGCAUGGGGGUCCCAGUCCUGAACUCGUCAGUUGUCGGUGAACUGCUCGAGCUGCUCCUGGAGUAAGAGUAGGUCACCGCAUGCCUUAUGGGGGAUGAACUAGAAACGUUUCCUUCAGGGGCCUUUCCUGCACAUCGAACAACCAACUCAAAAUUGGUACAGACAAGUGGUUUCCGAUUGUUUAAUUAAAACAAAGCAUUGCGAUGGUCCCAACAAAUGUUCACACAAUGUAAUUUCUACCCAGUGCUCUAAAUGUUAAAGUAAAAAUUCAACCAAGCAUGGGUAAACGACAAUAGUAACUUUGACUCUCUUAGGUAGCCAAAUGCCUCAUCUUCUAAUUAGUGACUCGCAUGAAUUGAUCAAAGAUAUUCCCGUGGUCCUUGUCAACUAUCCAGUGAAACUAAAGAAAAGGG
rnacentral:ncRNA from 1 species